CCUACGGGUGGCAGCAGUGGGGGAUAUUGCACAAUGGGGGGAACCCUGAUGAAGCGACGCCGCGUGGGUGAAGGAGCGUUUCGGCGCGUAAAGCCCAAUCGGCAGGGAAGAAGCGGACGGAACCUGACAAAGAAGCCCCGGCAAACUACGUGCCAGCAGCCGGGGUAAGACGGAGGGGGCAAGCGUAAGCGGGAUUUACUGGGUGAAAAGGGGGAGCAGACGGCAAUGCAAGCCAGGAGUGAAAGCCCGGGGCCCAACCCCGGGACUGCUCUUGGAACUGCAUGGCUGGAGUACAGGAGGGGCAGGCGGAAUUCCUAGUGUAGCGGUGAAAUGCGUAGAUAUUAGGAGGAACACCGGUGGCGAAGGCGGCCUGCUGGACUGUGACUGACGUUGAGGCCCGAAGGCGUGGGGAGCAAACAGGAUUAGAUACCCCAGUAGUC
rnacentral:rRNA from 1 species